CCUACGGGAGGCUGCAGUGAGGAAUAUUGGUCAAUGGGCGCGAGCCUGAACCAGCCAAAUCGCGUGAGGGAUGAAGGUUCUAUGGAUUGUAAACCUCUUUUAUAAGGGAAUAAAGUGUGGGACGUGUCCUAUUUUGUAUGUACCUUAUGAAUAAGGAUCGGCUAACUCCGUGCCAGCAGCCGCGGUAAUACGGAGGAUCCGAGCGUUAUCCGGAUUUAUUGGGUUUAAAGGGUGCGUAGGCGGCCUUUUAAGUCAACGGUGAAAGUCUGUGGCUCAACCAUAGAAUUGCCGUUGAAACUGGGGGGCUUGAGUAUGUGUGAGGCAGGUGGAAUGCGAGGUGUAGCGGUGAAAUGCUUAGAUAUCACGCAGAACCCCGAUUGCGAAGGCAGCCUACCGGGCCAUGACUGACGCUGAUGCACGAAAGCGUGGGGAUCAAACAGGAUUAGAUACCCCGGUAGUC
rnacentral:rRNA from 1 species